AUUGAACGCUGGCGGCAUGCCUUACACAUGCAAGUCGAACGGUAACAGGUCUUCGGAUGCUGACGAGUGGCGAACGGGUGAGUAAUACAUCGGAACGUGCCUAGUAGUGGGGAUAACUACUCGAAAGAGUGGCUAAUACCGCAUGAGAUCUACGGAUGAAAGCAGGGGAUCGCAAGACCUUGUGCUACUAGAGCGGCCGAUGGCAGAUUAGGUAGUUGGUGGGAUAAGAGCUUACCAAGCCGACGAUCUGUAGCUGGUCUGAGAGGACGAUCAGCCACACUGGGACUGAGACACGGCCCAGACUCCUACGGGAGGCAGCAGUGGGGAAUUUUGGACAAUGGGGGCAACCCUGAUCCAGCAAUGCCGCGUGCAGGAAGAAGGCCUUCGGGUUGUAAACUGCUUUUGUACGGAACGAAACGGUCUGGGUUAAUACCCUGGGCUAAUGACGGUACCGUAAGGAUAAGCACCGGCUAACUACGUGCCAGCCGCCGCAGUAA
rnacentral:rRNA from 1 species